GACGAACGCUGGCGGCGUGCUUAACACAUGCAAGUCGAACGGAAAGGCCCUGCUUUUGUGGGGUGCUCGAGUGGCGAACGGGUGAGUAGCACGUGAGUAACCUGCCCUUGACUUUGGGAUAACUUCAGGAAACUGGGGCUAAUACCGGAUAGGAGCUCCUGCUGCAUGGUGGGGGUUGGAAAUUUUCGGCGGUUGGGGAUGGACUCGCGGCUUAUCAGCUUGUUGGUGGGGUAGUGGCUUACCAAGGCUUUGACGGGUAGCCGGCCUGAGAGGGUGACCGGCCACAUUGGGACUGAGAUACGGCCCAGACUCCUACGGGAGGCAGCAGUGGGGAAUAUUGCACAAUGGGCGGAAGCCUGAUGCAGCAACGCCGCGUGCGGGAUGACGGCCUUCGGGUUGUAAACCGCUUUCGCCUGUGACGAAGCGUGAGUGACGGUAAUGGGUAAAGAAGCACCGGCUAACUACGUG
rnacentral:rRNA from 1 species